AUGUUAACCGUGCACAAUGCUUUAAUGAAGAUAGAACUCUCCUCUUCCGUUUGUCGAAUGAGGUUUAUGCUGCACGCCUUCUCCUGUCUUUGGUCCUUUUGUUCUGGUCGUGCUGUUCUGUGGGUUCUGACCCACUGGGCUGCAUCUUCUGAUGCUGUAACCUUUACGUCUGAUGUAAGAAAUACGCUGCGGUGUCUUGGCAAAGGGAAAGGAAGAGGCGCAAUGUCGGUCUCGUACACCGACUUCCACAGUCUGCCCGCCGUCCUGGGUUCCGCUCCAGGUCCUGGAGAAGGGGUUCUCAGCGCUGCCUUGAGGAUGACCUGGAGGGUGAUCGGCCCGGAAUACCGCUCCGGGCUAUUUAGAGGGAGCCAGCCACUGCGCACAGGUAGGAAUGGGCAUCAGCAGGCCUUACAUAGAGAAGUCUUGCUCUGCGUGGACAGACAGCUGUCCUGUCCUGUCCGCCUGUUAAGAUGAAGGGCUGUGCUUGCCAUGUGCUGUCCUGUCGUCUGCCUUCCCGAUGCUCGGGUUCCACUGCUGACGUUGUGUGCCCUCAGGAGCCGGAAGUGUUGCUCUGACUUAGCAGGCGGGAAACGACAUCCUUGAGAGUCUGAGGGUCGUGAGAGGCAGAGGGGGGCCCGGA
rnacentral:lncRNA from 1 species